GAAUGGGAUGUGGCAAACAAGUGGUGGUUGGGGAAAGAUCGAUCGUGACAGUGCUGCUGAAGCUAUGCUCAAAUAUGCUGAUGCGGCCUAUUUAAUGCCAUACAAAUACGGAGAAUAACUUCAUUUGUAACUAAAUCUCUCUGCUUUAUGUUGCAGGCUUGCAAAUGAAUUAUAUUGAGCCUUUCUGUCAAGAUGAACUCGCUUUGUAUAAUUUGUAAAAUGUAUGUUUUCAAAGGUUGACUGAUAUCAACUUUUUGAUGUUUGUUUGAAAAACUGAGUUGCAGGAUAAGGAACUAAGGCAACGCCUACAAGAUAGUGAGCGCAAAUUGGGGUCAUCAAUGCCUUUAGAUGAAUCAAAGGAAAGAGUUGCUCAACUUGAAUCAGAAGUCACAUCUUUAGAGAGUUGCUCACAGAUCUUCAAGACAACAAGAAAAGCAGCUUCAUUGUUGGAGAAGUAGUACUAGGAGCCAUAUUUACUUUUGAAUAUCUUGACGAUGUUGCAGAAAGUGAAAAAACUAGUCUUGUAUUCUGUUGUGUAUUAUUUAGUCCUGUAUCGUUUGUAGCUUGCUAUCUUUCUGAAGGUUAAAUUACAGGAACCGUCCUCCAAGAAUGUUCCAAGUUUCGAGCUUU